AUUGAACGCUGGCGGCAGGCUUAACACAUGCAAGUCGAGCGGAGCGAGGGUGCUUGCACCUUAGCUUAGCGGCGGACGGGUGAGUAAUGCUUAGGAAUCUGCCUAUUAGUGGGGGACAACAUUCCGAAAGGGAUGCUAAUACCGCAUACGCCCUACGGGGGAAAGCAGGGGAUCUUCGGACCUUGCGCUAAUAGAUGAGCCUAAGUCGGAUUAGCUAGUUGGUGGGGUAAAGGCCUACCAAGGCGACGAUCUGUAGCGGGUCUGAGAGGAUGAUCCGCCACACUGGGACUGAGACACGGCCCAGACUCCUACGGGAGGCAGCAGUGGGGAAUAUUGGACAAUGGGGGGAACCCUGAUCCAGCCAUGCCGCGUGUGUGAAGAAGGCCUUAUGGUUGUAAAGCACUUUAAGCGAGGAGGAGGCUCUCUUGGUUAAUACCCAAGAUGAGUGGACGUUACUCGCAGAAUAAGCACCGGCUAACUCUGUGCCAGCAGCCGCCGCCGUAA
rnacentral:rRNA from 1 species